rnacentral:rRNA from 1 species
UAAGGAAUAUUGGUCAAUGGGCGAAAGCCUGAACCAGCCAUCCCGCGUGCAGGAUGACUGCCCUAUGGGUUGUAAACUGCUUUAGACUGAGAAGAAACCCCUCAAUGCGUUGGGGGCUGACGGUAUCAGUAGAAUAAGCACCGGCUAACUCCGUG